UUAUUACUAUUAUGGAAAUUUGGCUUGUAGGCUUUUUAUUUCCGGUUGCGUUUUAAGUUUUCCGUCGUAGUGGAAACAGCUAGAACAUUAACCGUCAGUGAAAUAAAUGUCAAAUAAGUGUGUAAAAUAACAGUAGAAGUAGAGGUUUUAAUAGCACUGUGAAUAUAUGUUAUGCUUACAUAUAUAGCGUUGUUGGAGUUGCUUAUAGCAAGUAAACGCUACUCAAGCUAACACGAGGAAGAGGCGACGUUCACGUCAACUUUUGCAGUAAUUGUCGGGCAGUGACAAUAUCACCCGAGUCCAUGGUCCAAGCAAAUAACAGAAAGUGCUACUAAGAGGUGACCGCUGGUGAACAUGGCUGACAGUCGGACCGAAACGUUAAAUUUCAACGUCGGGGUCCUGGGACAUGUCGACAGCGGCAAGACGUCGCUGGCUCGGGCGCUGAGCAGCACCGCCUCCACGGCAGCCUUCGACAAGAACCCCCAGUCCCGCGAGAGAGGCAUCACCCUGGACCUCGGCUUCUCCUCCUUCACGGUGGACCUUCCGGAUCACCUGCGGGACAGCGAGGGCGGGCGGCCGUAUGACCGCCUGCAGUUCACCCUAGUGGACUGCCCAGGACAUGCCUCUCUCAUUCGGACUAUUAUUGGAGGAGCGCAGAUCAUCGACCUGAUGAUGCUGGUGGUGGACGUGGUGAAAGGGGUGCAGACUCAAACCGCCGAGUGUCUGCUGAUCGGCGAGCUGACCUGUCCUCGCAUGGUGGUCGUGCUGAACAAGACCGACCUUCUGCCAGCCAGCAAGAGGCAGAGCGCCGUGGAGAAGAUGACCAGGAGACUACACAAAACGCUGGAGAACACCAGAUUUAAGGACUGUCCAGUCAUUGCAGUGGCAGCCAAGCCCGGGGGCCCCGAAGCUCCUGACGCAGAGGAACCGCAGGGGGUAUCGGAGUUAAUCGAGCUGUUGAAGGAACAGACGUAUCUCCCGCGGAGAGACCCCGGAGGCGACCUGCUGAUGGCGGUGGACCACUGCUUCUCCAUCCGUGGCCAGGGGACGGUCAUGACCGGGACCAUCCUGCAGGGGUCGCUGGCCGUCAACGACACGGUGGAAAUCCCAGCGCUGAAGGUGACCAAGAAGGUAAAGUCUAUCCAGAUGUUUCGGAAGCCGGUCUCGGGGGCCAUGCAGGGGGACCGCGUGGGUGUGUGCGUGACCCAGUUUGACCCCAAGCUGUUGGAGCGGGGCGUCGUGUGCACCCCGGGCUCCCUGCGCACCGUCCACGCGGCCGUCAUCUCCGCCAGAAAGAUCGGCUACUUCAAGGGCUCCCUCAGCACGCGGGCCAAGUUCCACGUCACCGUGGGACACGAGACCGUCAUGGCGAGGGUGACCUUCUUCGGCCUUCCCGAGCCACGUUCGGACACACCCGACCUACAGCCGUGCUCGCUGGAAAGCGCCUUCGCUUUGGACAGGGAGUACGUUUACCAGGAAGACUACGUCACCGCUCAGGGAGAGUCCGGCUCAGGCCCCGACCCAGAGCAGUGGGCAUUGUUGGAGUUCGAGCGUCCGGUCACGUGCCCUUUACUCUGCCUGGUGAUCGGUUCCAAGCUGGACGCCGACAUCCACGCCAACGCGUGCCGCUUGGCCUUCCAAGGACGCCUGCUGCACGGCUUUGAGGGUAAAGGCUACGCUGAGAGCGACCUCCCUGGCCUGCUCAUCUACAAGACCAAGCACAAGGAGGGACAAGUGGAGAGGGCGACCGACGACUACACCGUGAUCGGCCGAAACCUGUUCAAGAAGGAAACCAACCUGCAGGUCUUUGUGGGGCUGAAGGUCACGCUGUCAACGGGCGAAACGGGCGUCAUCGAGGGCGGAUUUGGACAGAGUGGGAAGUUCAAAAUCCGGGUGCAAGGUAAGGGGGCGGGCACCAAGACUAGAACGUCAGUGUCUGCAUCAGUUACACGAGGGGUGUAACGGUACGUGUGUUCAUGCAGUAAUCCCUUGCCACGUCACGCUUCCAAUUUCCCAAAAAUAUAUCAAUAAAUAAAUCAUUCAGUUUUGUGUUUGAAUAGGCCUUACAUGAGUCAAAAAUAUGCAUAUUUAAGCUAAUUUUAUGCAAGUCUUUUUUUGUCUUAAUGAGGCAUUUUCAAGCAUAAAAAUGUCUAAGUGAAGUAAAAUACAAAUAUAAGGCAUUCCAAGUAGUAUUGUACACUGGUCACUAGGUGUCAGUGAUGUUACUGUAAUCUUGGCUGAGACACACAAGCACCAGACUUGAUGGGCGGAACAUCCGUCCAUCCAUUUUCUAUGGGUAUGCUCGGUGAGAGGCGGGUUACACCCUAAACUGGUUGCCAGCCAAUGGCAAGGCACAUAUAGACAAACACUCAUUUUCAUACCUAUGCACAAUUUAGAGUGUCAACAUGCUAACCACUAGGCCACCGUACGGCACAACAGGCUUUUUUUGCAGCUUUGAGUCAUCUCGAUUCAACGAGGUUUGGGCAUCGCGCGUUGAUGUAAUCAGGGGCUAACAUUGCGAUUCCCCCGGGGUCGUGCAAAUGUUUUUAUUUCGAUUCUUAGUUUCGAGGCCCACUUCGUCACCCGGAAGAAAUAGCUGCGAGCACCAGCGAAGAAGAAGUGGCUAAAAAGUGUGGCUUAACUUAAAAAAAAAAAAAAAAAAAAGAGCGUUCGGCUCAUGCAACACAAAGAUAUCAUGCAACUCAGUGAUAUCAUGUGACAAUAUCAUGCAACACAAGGAUAUCAUGCAACUCAGUGAUAUCAUGUGACAAUAUCAUGCAACACAAUAAUACCAUGUAAGUCAGUGAUAUCACACAACACAAUGAUAUCAUACAACUUGUGAUAUCAUGCAACUCAAUGAUAUUAUGUGACACAAUAAUAUCAUGUGACAAUAUCAUGCAACGCAAUAUCAUGCAACUCAUUGAUAUCAUGUGACAAUAUCAUGCAACACAAUGAUAUCAUGCAACUCAGUGAUUUGCAACGUAAUAUCAUGCGACACAGUGAUAUCGUACAACUCAGUGAUAUCAUGCAAGACGAUAUCAUGCACCUUAAUGCGACAAGGAUAUGCAACACUAUCAUGCAACACAAUUAUAUCAUGCAACUCAGUAAUAUCACACAACAAAAUGAUAUGCAACUCAUGAUAUCAUGCAACUCAUGAUAUCAUGCAACUCAUUGAUAUCAUGCAAGACAAUGAUAUCAUGCACCUCAAUGCGACAAGGAUAUGCAACACUAUCAUGCGACACAAUGACAUCAUGCAACUCAAUGAUAUGAUAUGCAACAUUAUUAUAUGAAACUCAGUGAUAUCAUGCGACACAAUGAUAUCAUGCAUCUCAGUGAUGUAAUGCAACACAAUAAUACCAUGCAACACAGUGAUAUCAUGCAAAGGAGGGUGCACCACCAACAUGACACAUUCAUGGUGCAAAUAUAAUAAUUUUAUCACCCUGCCUCCUAAAAAGCAUCGGAAUCGAAAGUCGUUGGGAACCGGAAUUGUAAUCGUUCAAAUUCAAACGAUGCCCAACCUUUCUCACGACAGGCAUAAUAAUCCCUAACACGGGCUACCAGCACAAAUCUUGUUUAUGUCUUAUUUUCUCUUAUUAUGUCUACUAUAUUGGGUAAUAGGAGUGUAAAGGUGACUAUAGGGGUGUUAUUUCAUGUCUAGAGGACUCUAAUGAUGUUAAAAACCGUAUUUAGAAGGUCGUAAACAGGUCUUCUAUGCUCUAACUAUGGACAUAGUACAUUUAUAAAUAAGGAGUCCUGCUUUGCGGAAAUUCACUUUGGGUCUGGAACCAAUUAACCGCCUUAAACGAGGGAUUUCUGUGUUCUGAUUCUUUAGUGUACUAUUUCCACGCUAGUUUUUAUGUGUCAUUUAAAAAAAAUCAUUACCGCUGUUGACACAAAAACUAAGUAGUCUUCUGGUUUACAUGUUUUCUCCAAACCCUACCCAAAAUGAACCAAAGCGUCACGUUAAAACCGAUGUACGUACCGAGCGGUGAUCGCACCGUACCAUUACACCCCUACUUCACACCCAAAACUUUUUUUUGUUUUUUACCCUGAUCCGGGGUCAGGGAAGAUUGUUGUAAGUAUAUAUAUUCAGGAUGUGGUAAAGAGCGGCAGGGUUGACGUCUCCAGCCGCAUUCCCAGGAUUCCUCCGGGGAUUGCCUGUGUUCCGGGGGAAGUCUGCUCUCUAUUUAUUUUACCUUCUGUUGCUCCAAACCCACUGCUCCACACCAGGAGGGGAGAGAAAACAAAAACAUAUCCAAGUCAGAGCCUCAUCCACAUCCUCUUCACUGCAUCUCUCACACACACACAAUUUGGGGAAAGGCGGAGCUGCUUACGAGGUUUCAGGUUAAUAGUUGGUUAUUUCUUCAAUAAAAUAUGACCAUUGUACUUGGUGUUUUAUUUCCAGCAUAGAUAACAAUGCGUAUUCAUGUGGAUAAUGAAUGCUCAACUGUAAUGCGCAGGCUACGGGAUCACUGCAGGGACACGAGAGACAGCCAUGGCUAUAAACGCUAGCGAGCUAACUAGUUAGCCUCCAAGUUAUUUCCUGUAUUUUAAACUUAAGAAAGGAUUUAAAACCAAGUGGGGAAGAAGGACAUAAAAGCCAAAAACAUACCACUUCCACACGGAAUGGGAGGAGAACUUUUUUUCCCCCAGUCUAUCAUGUCGGACGUGCCAUGGCUGACUCCAUGCCGUGUGACGCUAAUCUACUGUCAUGUCCCAAUAAUGCAGUGGCCAAAAUACUACAUAUACUUUUGUCCUUCAAUAGCGUUGAGCAAGGAGUGAUAAUCGAACCGCGAUACUGUGAGGGACUGUACUGACAAAUCUAGCGACUUUUUCUGGUCUUUGGAGACUCGUAUGGCUCUUCUCAACGAGCAGAGGGUGCUCCUAUGCGCCUUCCCCCACCUGAAAGCACUCACAGGCGGCUUCGUCUUGAAACAGAAGAAAGUUCAUUUAGUAUUUUGAAACAUUUGUUUCAUGUGCUUUUCAUGUUGUUGGUUUUUUUUUGCUUGCUUUUUAUUUCCAACAGCGUACAUAAAAACAACACACACGUGCAUGACGGCUAAUUAUGCAAAUUAUACGAUCUGUAAUGGCACGUCAUAAUCACAUACAGAAUAAUGGAAGGAUUGGGGGGGGCACUCAGAUCCAGAAUUAGGUAUUCCUCUUCUGCCGCUUGUUCCGGUGUACGAUUGAAGAGCUUGUCCAGUUGCUCUAUCCGCCGCAGCAUUAAAGAUGCUGUAGGUCAAUAUACUGUCUGAUACAGUGGUGCCCCCUUCCUGAUUUCUUGUUUUUUUGCAAGUUUGUCACACUUUAGUCAAUGACAACACAAGUGAACACAAAAUGCAGUUUUUAAAUGAAACAAAAAAAGUCCAAACCUACAUGGCCCCCAAGAGCGCUCAUCCAAGAGGUCACAAAAGACCCCACGACAACAUCCAAAGAACUGCAGGCCUCACUUGCCUCAGUUAAGGUCAGUGUUCAUGACUCCACCAUAAGAAAGACUAAGUGGUGGUAGUGUGAUGGUCUGCUUCAGGACCUGGAAGACUUGCUGUGAUCAAUGGAAGCAUGAAUUGUGCUGAAGGAGAAUGUUGGUGACCUCAAGCUGAAAGCAACUUGGGUUCUGCAGCAGGACAAUGAUCCAAAACACACCAGCAAGUCCACCUCUGAAUGGCUGUUUCAUUUCAAACGUGCAUUUUGUGUUGAGUUGUGUUGUCAUGGAGUAAUGUUUACAUUUGUUUGACGAUCCCUAACAUUUAAGUGUGACAAACAUGCAACAAACUAAGAAAUCAGGAAAGGGGCAAACACUUUUUCACACCAGUGUAUAUGCUUUGUGUUGUAGGUGACAAAGGAAAUUUGGGUAAUAUCUAAUAAUAAAUCCUAUCAAGAGUCCAUUGAUUGUAUUUUUGAAUUGGCUGCUCCAUGUUGGAUAGUAAUAAUCCUAAUAACACUGCUAUGUUAAGUGAUGUGUCACUUCCAGGCAGGAUGUCUCCACAGUGUAGUGAAUGAAACCCAAACUAUGUUGGAGCGUGUGCAUGCUGGCGUAGCCACAACUAGCAGAGAUAUCAAGCCGGCGUAACGAGCCUGACGUUGGCAUAACGAUAACGGCAGGAAUGCUGGCGCCGUGAUGCAUGAGGCCAGACAGACAGCGUGUCAAGCAAUAAAAGCAGAACAUUGCCUACCUUCCGUGUCCUAAACCGCCAGCAACAUUAGUAGCUGCUUUCAGUGGCGGACACACACACACAGAAAUGUGACUCAACUCGCACAACGUUUCUCCUGGAGUUGAGGUCAGAGCCGACAGACAGGAGGGUACGUGUCAGGGUUGGUCAUUUGACUACAUUUUCAUCCAUUAAGCCAGUUGCUGUUUGAUGGAAACAACAAUCCAGCGGAACCUCGGUUAGCGUCAUGAAUGUGUUCCAGAUGGUCCGACUCAAACCGAAUCCAUUUUUCCAACCAUGCGGUGCGCAAUGUGAUGUAAACAAAGCUGGAGGUAAUGUCGGAAUGUGCGUCUGUGCGUGUCAGAUUGGCAUGAAUAAACCAAUCAAGUGACAAACGUCACAGUGAGGACGGACGGCAGGCUGAUGGCCGUCUUCAUGUUCAAGAUACUACAACAACCAGGAACAUCCCCAAUGCUAACGAUGACUUAGUAUGUCUUAUUAUUGCUUAUCUUGUCUGCUAUAUUGCGUAAUAGGAGUGUAAAUGUGACUAUAGGGGUGUUAGUUCCUGUCCAGAGGGCUCUAAUAAUGAAAAAUGAAUUCUUCAGGUGCACUCUGUAGCCCGGAAAUUACGUCAGUUUGCUGUCUAGAGCAGUGGUCCUCAACCCCGCACAGUAAGAAAACAUCAUUUCCAUUAUUUCAUAUUUUUUAUGUUUUAUUUUGAAAAGUGGCCGGAUUCUCUCUGUUACAUCCGUCUCACUUGACGCAUGUCCGUGGUGCAUGUGCUAACUUUAUCUCAUGCCGCACAGAUAGACUACUACUGUAUUUUUACCAUUUUUCUUUCACCUCAUAUUUGGUGUGAAAUGCUGAUACUAUGUGGGAAUGCAUCAAGGUAAGAUUUGAUGACUUAUUGAGUGCUAAUGUGCACAUUUGUCUCAAGUUAAUUCAUGCUAGCACACUUCCUCUUACCACACACGUCAAACAGCCAUGUAAUCAUCUCUCUGGAAACACUUGGCUGGAACUUGAACUGGUGGAUGGUGGGUCAGCAUUCAUUUUGUGCUUUUAGUUUGAUGUUAUUCAUGUCUUAGUUUUACACAAUACAUCAUAAAUAAGAUAAAUUAGAUCGCUAUAAUGUACGAGGUUACGCGUUGUGGAAACAUUUUAAAGCAUGCACACACAUAGUUUAGUUCCAAACGUGAAAAUACUUCAUGGUAGGGCUGGGUGAUAUGUCCAUAUUUUUAAAGGUCGAUAUUUCUUCUAAGCACGAUAUCGUUGAUAUCCACAAAGACUGGAUUUGAUGCGGAGGUCUCAUGUUUCAAUGGUGCCGCCCGAGUGGCAGCUAGUUACAGCAGCUCCGUAUUUUCAACAUCGUUUUUCGUGUUUAAUUGUGCUUUAUUCGUACGUCCUUAUUGUUUUUCAGCCAUACUGCCCCCUUCAGCAAGUGUGCAGCUAUGGAUGUUCAUCUUGUUAUGUUUGUAGCUUGCCUCUUGCUUGUUGCGGGAGACGCAUUCAUUCACGGCGCCGUUGUUUACACUCGGGAGCAGCUUUGAGCCACACACCACUUUGCUACGGCGAGCGACCGGAGAUCCCCGCGGCGAUACAGAGGAGAGAGGCUGCAUAGCGGGAGUGAAGCAGCGAUAGCGGAAAAGACGGCAUCGAGCGUGUUUAGCGUCUGUCAUCAUGGCUAACGUGAUGGAAGAGCUAACGGCGCUAACCCAGGGUCUUCGCCCGGACACCAAGCAGCUGCUGUCCUCGUCUUCCAAGAAAAAAGGGAAGGCGGGCGGCAAAGACGGAGCCACGAUCGAAGAGGAGCCCAAAGCGGACGCGCAUCACGUCAACAUUCACUUGAAUUUCAAGCGCUACGUCU